UGUGUCACAACAGGAAGAAAAAGAACUAGUUCCUAGCACAGGGAUUGAACAGAUGUGAAGAGCACAUGACUGUCUCAAUGCCGGGAUAUGAGCUGCAGGUGGUGCCCAGGAAAGCCAGAAGUUCCCCGCACACUUCUGUGAGCCACUCACCUGUGAGGCCACAGGCCCUGAUGGCAUUUUCCACCAGCUUCCGUAAUACCUGGAGGACUUUGGCAGGCACAAUGUCCCCCUCAAUGUUCACAUCAUCCUCGUGCCACUGCCACAGGCUCUUCACAAACUGCUCUACUGCCAGCCACUGCUGCAGAGCCUCGGGGUCACGCAGAGGGCAGGGCAGCCUGGCGCCCUGCAGGGUGUAGUACCGCCAGCGCUGCUCCCGGGCCUCCCUAUACCCUGCCAGGCCUUUCACCGGCACAGUGACGAGGAACUGGCAGGGGCCUAGAACCUGGGAGAAAACAGGACAAGUGAGAGUCCACAUACUUGGGAGGCAACAGAAAGCUUCAGCAAGCUGACCCCUGAGCCAAGUCUCUGGGUUAACUCAGCGUGAACAGCUGCUCCUGCUGGUUAUAGGAUGACCCCAUCUUUGUCCUGCCACUAACCCACUGUACCCUGCAGGCAUGGAAAUUAACUCACUGAGUCCUGGCUUCUGUGAAUCUGCAAGGAAAAGGAACACACCAGUUUGAACAUGUUUAAUGGCUGAGAGAAAAGAGUCCGUGGAGAAGGAAGAGGCAGCAGAGAGCAAAACCACCGAGCAAGGAUUUCCCGGUCAGGAAGACUUAUGCAAAUCCAGAAACACCGGGAGGAAUUUACAGGAAUUUACCUCUGAGUGUCAAAAGGAAAGAAAGCCGGUGCAAAUAGAGACAGAAGGAAAUGAAAGCACAGGACUGUGAGAAAAUGCCAGCCGACAUUCCUUCCAUCUAGAGGUCCCCAAAGGAGAAAUGAUUGGAAGUCAUUUUGUUUAUGAUUUUUAUCAUCGACCCCACUGCCAUCCUAUUAUCACACCCACACCAGCAUGGCCCCGGGCUGGAGCCCCAGCCCACACCCUGUCCUCACCCCACACUGGGCACCCAGCAUGCCUCAAAGACAGGACUGAGGGGGAGUAAGUCCCUAAAGACCAGUACAGAGCUGGCCUUGGCUUCCUGGGGAGCAUUUGUGUGUGGCUGGAAGUAGCCUGAAGUUCUUUCCUGAAUCAGAAAAUAAAUACUCUCAUUCCGUGUGAUUCACACUCAACGCAAGCAAAUACAUGUAUAGCAGCUUUGCCUCAAUUUCUGCUGUGAGGAUCAAGAUACUGUUUUUUAAAGGCAGUUUAACAAGGUAUUUGAAAACUUAAAGCAUCCAGGUGAGAGAUCCUGGCAAGAUGGUGUCACCUGGUUCACCAACAGAGGAGUUACUAUUUUCCCAGUGGCCAGGAUUUUGUCCCCAGAAGGGCUGAUCCAAAUCAAUCUUAAAUAUGCAAAUUUGUUGAAGUUCACCAACGAUACAACUCUAGACUUCUCCUUUCUAGGAUUUCCUUUCAUCCUGAGGUGACUCUAAUCUUACAGCUCAGAGGACCAGACAGAGCUCCUUGUCUGUGUUAGCAAGAAACCCCCACAAUCAGCAACGAGGCAGGACCUCAUCUGCUGUCUCUCCAGUGACAGCAGCACCUAACACACAACUUACUGCAAUACAGACAGUGGUGAAUAUCUAAUUAAUGGCAUUAAACAUUAAAGUGAAAUUCCUAGAGUAAAAUAAAUUUGUGA